GGAAUCUUGUGCAAUGGACGAAAGUCUGACACAGCCACGCCGCGUGCGGGAAGAAGGCCUUCGGGUUGUAAACCGCUUUCAGGAGGAACGAAAAUGACGGUACCUGCAGAAGAAGGAGCGGCCAACUACGUGCCAGCAGCCGCGGUGACACGUAGGCUCCAAGCGUUGUCCGGAUUUAUUGGGCGUAAAGAGCUCGUAGGCGGUUCAGCAAGUCGGGUGUGAGAACUCUGGGCUCAACCCAGAGCCUGCACCCGAAACUGCUGUGACUAGAGUUCGGUAGGGGAGUGGGGAAUUCCUAGUGUAGCGGUGAAAUGCGCAGAUAUUAGGAGGAACACCGAUGGCGAAGGCACCACUCUGGGCCGAAACUGACGCUGAGGAGCGAAAGCGUGGGUAGCAAACAGGAUUAGAUACCCUGGUAGUCCACGCCGUAAACGAUGGGCACUAGGUGUGGGUCUCUAACCAACGAGUCCGCGCCGUCGCUAACGCAUUAAGUGCCCCGCCUGGGGAGUACGGUCGCAAGACUAAAACUCAAAUGAAUUGACGG
rnacentral:rRNA from 1 species